ACGAACGCUGGCGGCGUGCUUAACACAUGCUUGUCGAACGGAGUACCCUCGAAAGAGAUUUCGGUCAAUGGAGAGGACUACUUAGUGGCGGACGGGUGAGUAACGCGUGAGGAACCUGCCUUUCAGUGGGGGACAACAGUUGGAAACGACUGCUAAUACCGCAUAACGUACUGGUAUCGCAUGGUACUGGUACCAAAGAUUUAUCGCUGAGAGAUGGCCUCGCGUCUGAUUAGCUAGUUGGUAGGGUAACGGCCUACCAAGGCGAUGAUCAGUAGCCGGACUGAGAGGUUGGCCGGCCACAUUGGGACUGAGAUACGGCCCAGACUCCUACGGGAGGCAGCAGUGGGGAAUAUUGGGCAAUGGGCGCAAGCCUGACCCAGCAACGCCGCGUGAAGGAAGAAGGCUUUCGGGUUGUAAACCUCUUUUGACAGGGAAGAGCAGAAGACGGUACCUGUCGAAUAAGCCACGGCUAACUACGUGCCAGCAGCCGCGGUAAUACGUAGGUGGCAAGCGUUGUCCGGAUUUACUGGGUGUAAAGGGCGUGUAGCCGGGCUGACAAGUCAGAUGUGAAAUCCGGGGGCUCAACCCCCGAACUGCAUUUGAAACUGUUGGUCUUGAGUAUCGGAGAGGCAGGCGGAAUUCCUAGUGUAGCGGUGAAAUGCGUAGAUAUUAGGAGGAACACCAGUGGCGAAGGCGGCCUGCUGGACGACAACUGACGGUGAGGCGCGAAAGCGUGGGGAGCAAACAGGAUUAGAUACCCUGGUAGUCCACGCUGUAAACGAUGGAUACUAGGUGUGCGGGGACUGACCCCCUGCGUGCCGCAGCUAACGCAAUAAGUAUCCCACCUGGGGAGUACGAUCGCAAGGUUGAAACUCAAAGGAAUUGACGGGGGCCCGCACAAGCGGUGGAUUAUGUGGUUUAAUUCGAUGCAACGCGAAGAACCUUACCAGGGCUUGACAUCCUACUAACGAAGUAGAGAUACAUUAGGUACCCUUCGGGGGAAGUAGAGACAGGUGGUGCAUGGUUGUCGUCAGCUCGUGUCGUGAGAUGUUGGGUUAAGUCCCGCAACGAGCGCAACCCUUAUUGUUAGUUGCUACGCAAGAGCACUCUAGCGAGACUGCCGUUGACAAAACGGAGGAAGGUGGGGACGACGUCAAAUCAUCAUGCCCCUUAUGUCCUGGGCUACACACGUAAUACAAUGGCGGUCAACAGAGGGAUGCAAAACCGUGAGGUGGAGCGAACCCCUAAAAGCCGUCCCAGUUCAGAUCGCAGUCUGCAACCCGACUGCGUGAAGUCGGAAUAAAUAGUAAUCGCGGAUCAGCAUGCCGCGGUGAAUA
rnacentral:rRNA from 1 species